rnacentral:misc_RNA from 1 species
AACUUUUGGCAACGGAUCACUUGGUUCUGGCAUCGAUGAAGAACGCAGCGAAAUGCGAUAAGUAAUGUGAAUUGCAGAAUUCAGUGAAUCAUCGAAUCCUUGAACGAACAUUGCGCCCCUUGGUAUUCCGAGGGGCAUGCCUGUUCGAGCGUCAUUAUAACCACUCAAGCCUCGGCUUGGUCUUGGGGUUCGCGGACUUCGCGGCCUUUAAAAUUAGUGGCGGUGCCGUCUGGCUCUAAGCGUAGUAAUUCUCUCGCUAUAGGGUCCCGGUGGUUACCUGCCAGAAUCCCCCCAUUUUUUACGGUUGACCUCGGAUCAGGUAGGGAUACCCGCUGAACUUAAGCAUAUCAAUAAGCGGAGGCU